GAUGAACGCUGGCGGCGUGCCUAAUACAUGCAAGUCGAGCGAACGGACGAGAAGCUUGCUUCUCUGAUGUUAGCGGCGGACGGGUGAGUAACACGUGGAUAACCUACCUAUAAUACUGGGAUAACUUCGGGAAACCGGAGCUAAUACCGGAUAAUAUUUUGAACCGCAUGGUUCAAAAGUGAAAGACGGUCUUGCUGUCACUUAUAGAUGGAUCCGCGCUGCAUUAGCUAGUUGGUAAGGUAACGGCUUACCAAGGCAACGAUGCAUAGCCGACCUGAGAGGGUGAUCGGCCACACUGGAACUGAGACACGGUCCAGACUCCUACGGGAGGCAGCAGUAGGGAAUCUUCCGCAAAGGGCGCAAGCCUGACGGAGCAACGCCGCGUGAGUGAUGAAGGUCUUCGGAUCGUAAAACUCUGUUAUUAGGGAAGAACAUAUGUGUAAGUAACUGUGCACAUCUUGACGGUACCUAAUCAGAAAGCAACGGCUAACUACGUG
rnacentral:rRNA from 1 species